rnacentral:rRNA from 1 species
AGGCGUAACACAUGCAAGUCGAACGAAGUCUUCGGAGUUAGUGGCGCACGGGUGAGUAACACGUGGGAAUAUACCUUACGGUGGGGGAUAACAUCGGGAAACUGAUGCUAAUACCGCAUACGCCCUUCGGGGGAAAGAUUUAUCGGCGAAAGAUUAGCCCGCGUCCGAUUAGCUAGUUGGUGAGGUAAUGGCUCACCAAGGCUACGAUCGGUAGCUGGUCUGAGAGGAUGAUCAGCCACACUGGGACUGAGACACGGCCCAGACUCCUACGGGAGGCAGCAGUGGGGAAUAUUGGACAAUGGGCGCAAGCCUGAUCCAGCCAUGCCGCGUGAGUGAUGAAGGCCUUAGGGUUGUAAAGCUCUUUCUCCCGGUGACGAAGAUGACGUAACUCUAGAAGAGCCCAUCC